GUAGGGAAUAUUGGGCAAUGGAUGCAAGUCUGACCCAGCCAUCCCGCGUGCCGGAAGAAGGCCCUCAGGGUUGUAAACGGCUUUUGACGGUGAAGAAUCGACAGGAUGCGUCCUGUUUUGACGGUAGCCGUUGAAUAAGCACCGGCUAACUCCGUUCCAGCAGCCGCGGUAAUACGGAGGGUGCGAGCGUUGUCCGGAUUUAUUGGGUUUAAAGGGUGCGUAGGAUGGAAGGUCAGUCAGCGGUGAAAAGCUGUCGCUUAACGAUAGUCUUGCCGCAGAUACUUCCUUUCUUGGAUGAGGAGGAGGCCACUGGAACGGAUGGUGUAGCGGUGAAAUGCAUAGAUAUCAUCCAGAACACCGAGUGCGAAGGCAGGUGGCUGUACCUUAAUCGACGCUGAUGCACGAAAGCAUGGGGAGCAAACAGGAUUAGAAACCCCAGUAGUCC
rnacentral:rRNA from 1 species